CUGGCAGCUGCUCAGGGUCCCCUUUACCCAGACCUACAGGGCUUCCGGCCUGUGCCCCCCACCUGCGGCGGGUCUGCCCCCGUUCUACAGCCAGCAUCCCCCGGGGGUGGAUCACAGCUCGGGCCCAAGGUGUUUCUUUUCCCUUGCAGGAGAACUUUCCAUCCAACACAUCAAUUAGAAAAGCCCCCCCUGGUUACUUCGAGGGGGAAAAAACCAGCCCGAUUUCUUCUGGUUCUCACCAAACGCGUUUCUGAUCCUGACCGGAUUCUUCUCACCUGUAGGAGCGAGGGGGAACCGGAACCGAAAAGGACAUUAUAGACAGAUCCGUGGGUGACCCGGGGACGAUUACGUUGAAUGCCACUUCUCUGUCUCCUCCUUUGAAAAUAAUGUGGCCCCAUAGAAACAGCAUUAUCUCUAUCGGCCUAUGAUCGGGAAUAGAAUCUGCUAACCCCCCACCCCCCAGCAUCGCGUCUCUUCCCCUCCUCCCCAGUUUGCUGAAGAAUCCCAAAUCCGUGAAUCUGGUUAAGGAAGGCCCGGGGUGCUAUUCCGUCAAACAGGGACAUGAGCAUGAGCAUGGGAGGCAUUUGGAGGUUUGCACAAACGCGAACAGACGCGGGCCGGGGAGGGGAAGCGCCCGGCCAGGCUUGGGAAUCGCUCUCGCUGGUCAAGGUUUGUUAUCAGUAAAACCCACGCGCGUUCGCCCUCGGAAUAAAGUGACUUUUAACGGGAAGGACGCUGGAAUCCCAGCUCGCUCGGAACAAAGGGGGCUGGGUUACCUUCCAGCGAGGGGAAUCUGCUGGGGCGGCUGGAAUCAACUUUCCAACCCUCCUGUCUGGCGAAUGGCUCUUCAGCCGAGCGCGGCUGCCAGGUUUCUGCAGAUGCAAAUUACCGGCGAAUUCUGCCGGAGAAGCGGCACGUGUGUUUAUAACCCACAUCGCGGGGCUUAACCGAGCACAAGAAGGACGUUUCUGUCAACCUCGGGGAGCGCAAAAAGCUCGCGCCUCGCAAGUGAAAUGUGCCGGGCAUGUCAUCGGCUGAAGCGCGGGCCUGUGACUUUGGGGAAGGAGCAACUUCGUGAUAAACACGAAUCGUCUCGGCAGCGAGCGACGGAGUCUCCGGAGCUAUAGCUGCCUUUUGUUGAAGAGGAAGAAACCCAAACCACGGCCACCUCCGAUGGAUGCAGUUCUGCACCAAUCCCGGCCAGGGAAGAGGGAUAGAAAGAAGCAUCCCUCGUUCAGAAGGGGAAAUAAAGAACAUUGGAACAUGCAGGCUUUGAAGUUAGCAUAGCUGAGAGGGUUCUGUUCUCUAAGCUGGAAUGUGACCUACACCACGGCGCGUAAGAACUGCCUAGAUGCGCGUGUGCCUGCAACGCACGGUCACGAUGCAAACUUGAGAAAACAAACACAAUCUGACCCAGGAUCUGCGUAGAGACAGUGAGGGCUCGACAGAGACAGGUUACACCUCCCCAGGCCUAGGAUGGGCUAGACUUUUCCCACCUAUGAGGAAUUGCCUGGUCAGGAAGAAAUUAAUGUCAUUGUCUUCUGCCUGCAAUGCUUUGAGUGGCUUUUGAUGACUGGCUGGCUUGGCUGUAUAACUCCAAGGCAAGGAUGAAAGUCUGGGGGAUCCAGGGAGGGAAGGAGCUACCCUACUGCACACAUGGACGCUAGAGGCCCCAGCUGUCUUGCAGAAGGAAAUUGUGCCAUUCCGCUGGCCUGACCCCAUCCCAGAGGGCUCCACCAACUGAUUCCAUCCACUUCUGGGGGUCAGGCAGCCCUGGAAGGCGACUCACUAAACAACAGAGAUUCAUGCUACGCAUCUCACGCCACCACAACUGUGCUUCUCCAGGGGCGAAGUGGCGUGAUCAGAAGAUGUGAUGUUGGAUGAGCACAAAAGCCACAAGAAGGGCCCAGUAUUUGCAAGAGGUUCCAUUUGAAGAUUUGUUUCCUUUCCAAAAUAAAAACAGUGACUAGCGUGUGGAGAGCGUUGAUGGGAGGGGAGGGUCAUUUUUUGGUAAAUGGCCCAAAACCAAACAAACGCUUGGCCAGUAGUAAGACAAGCUGUGCAUCUCCCCUCUGAGCAGAAAGCACCAAGGUAAACAGAGCCAAAUCCAUUGGGGGGGGGUUGCAUUCUGCCUCUUAAAAUCCCCCCUGUGAUUUCCACUGGCUAUAGGAUUAGUUUUCCCUUCCUGUUCUCUGGGGUUGUAUAGUUGUCAUGAAUCCCACUUGGGUCACUGGUGGGAUUUCAAACCAUAAACAGCAUUAAUGCUUAAGUGCAAAUACUAAAUCCAACAGCUGGAAGCUGGGGCAGACUGAGUCUUUUAUGUGGACUAGUCACUGGAGGGUGACAAAAGCCCCGCAGCCUACAAGCAUGGGUUACGUAGCAUUGCGGCAUGCUGCUACACAGAGCCUGUGUCUAAUUUGUGUAUCCGUUUGCCAUGUGUCCUGGGACCCUAUGGAAUGAAAGACUCUAUUGGCUGAGUAAGUUCUUACUGUCCUGGCUGCUGCUGGGUGAGAUGUGUAUUAAAAAUAUGAAUUUGA